rnacentral:lncRNA from 1 species
GGAGUAGAUGAUGAAAAAGGUGGUCAUGUGAUUACGGCCGACAAUGUUUACCGCUAAAGGAAGCACCCCUUUGGUUUGGGAUUUAUCUCUGACGAAACUGCUCAUUGUGAUCCCAGAAGGAAUAAGUUCGUCAUUGGAGCGACGUAAUGCCUUCAUGACAUUUACAGGCAUGAUAUUGACGGUGGCUCCACAAUCGACAAAAACUUUGGAGACUGGAUACCCUUCGAUAUGGGCCGUUACAUACAAUGGCUUCAAAUGAUGAAGUUUGACCGAUGAUGUGUGAGGAAACAAUUCGACC